GCUCAGGAUGAACGCUGCGGCGUGCCUAAUACAUGCAAGUCGAGCGAAUGGAUUAAGAGCUUGCUCUUAUGAAGUUAGCGCGGACGGGUGAGUAACACGUGGGUAACCUGCCCAUAAGACUGGGAUAACUCCGGGAAACCGGGGCUAAUACCGGAUAACAUUUUGAACCGCAUGGUUCGAAAUUGAAAGCGGCUUCGGCUGUCACUUAUGGAUGGACCCGCGUCGCAUUAGCUAGUUGGUGAGGUAACGGCUCACCAAGGCAACGAUGCGUAGCCGACCUGAGAGGGUGAUCGGCCACACUGGGACUGAGACACGGCCCAGACUCCUACGGGAGGCAGCAGUAGGGAAUCUUCCGCAAUGGACGAAAGUCUGACGGAGCAACGCCGCGUGAGUGAUGAAGGCUUUCGGGUCGUAAAACUCUGUUGUUAGGGAAGAACAAGUGCUAGUUGAAUAAGCUGGCACCUUGACGGUACCUAACCAGAAAGCCACGGCUAACUACGUGCCAGCAGCCGCGGUAAUACGUAGGUGGCAAGCGUUAUCCGGAAUUAUUGGGCGUAAAGCGCGCGCAGGUGGUUUCUUAAGUCUGAUGUGAAAGCCCACGGCUCAACCGUGGAGGGUCAUUGGAAACUGGGAGACUUGAGUGCAGAAGAGGAAAGUGGAAUUCCAUGUGUAGCGGUGAAAUGCGUAGAGAUAUGGAGGAACACCAGUGGCGAAGGCGACUUUCUGGUCUGUAACUGACACUGAGGCGCGAAAGCGUGGGGAGCA
rnacentral:rRNA from 2 species